AUGUGUGGCCUUGACAAUGACCGCAGAACGCUAGAGCGCCAGCUGCUAGCCGUUGAGUGCAAGCUGGCCCAUGCUGAGGAGUGGAGCGAGACAAAUAGCUAUGUCAAGAGUUGGAUGAAGGAGCUCAAGUCCGUAGCCUACGAGGCUGACGACGUGCUGGACGACUUCCAGUACGAGGCACUGCGCCGCAAGUCUAAGAUUGGCAAGUCCACUACCCACAAGGAGGAGAUGAACAAGUUUGGCCUGGAGAAUUCUGUUAGUAGGGUGGAGCGGCAACAUCCUUGCCGGCAGACGCACUCAAAACUGGAUUGGUCUACCAAGAUCUUUGGAAGAGAUGAUGAUAAGGAGGAGGUGGUGAAGUUGCUGCUGGAACAGCAAGAUCAGCAGCAGGUGCAGGUGCUGCCCAUAUUUGGGAUGGGAGGUCUUGGCAAGACGACUCUUGCUAAGAUGGUGUACAAUGACCAACGGGUCCAACAACAUUUCCAGUUGAACAUGUGGCACUGUGUGUCGGACAACUUUGAUGCCAUUGUUCUUGUGAAAUCCGUUAUUGAAUUGGCUACGAAUGGAAGUUGCAACCUACCUAACAACAUCGAAUUAUUGCAAAAGCGGCUUGAGGAAGUCAUUGGCCAAAAAAGAAAAGCAUAUAGCAACAGUGUAGAGGAAGAGCAAGCAGAGUUAGUCACCAUCGGAAGGCGUAUAGUCAACAAAUGUGGGGGGUUGCCUCUUGCUCUCAAGACAAUGGGUGGAUUGCUGAGUUCGAAGCAACAAGUACAUGAAUGGAAGGCCGUCGAAGAAAGUAACAUUGGGGAUAAUGAUAGAGGCAAAUACGAGGUCAUGCCCGUACUGAAGUUAAGCUAUAGACACCUAUCAUCU
rnacentral:rRNA from 1 species